ACUGGCAGGCUAGAGUCUUGUAGAGGGGGGUAGAAUUCCAGGUGUAGCGGUGAAAUGCGUAGAGAUCUGGAGGAAUACCGGUGGCGAAGGCGGCCCCCUGGACAAAGACUGACGCUCAGGUGCGAAAGCGUGGGGAGCAAACAGGAUUAGAUACCCUGGUAGUCCACGCUGUAAACGAUGUCGAUUUGGAGGUUGUGCCCUUGAGGCGUGGCUUCCGGAGCUAACGCGUUAAAUCGACCGCCUGGGGAGUACGGCCGCAAGGUUAAAACUCAAAUGAAUUGACGGGGGCCCGCACAAGCGGUGGAGCAUGUGGUUUAAUUCGAUGCAACGCGAAGAACCUUACCUGGUCUUGACAUCCACAGAACUUUCCAGAGAUGGAUUGGUGCCUUCGGGAACUGUGAGACAGGUGCUGCAUGGCUGUCGUCAGCUCGUGUUGUGAAAUGUUGGGUUAAGUCCCGCAACGAGCGCAACCC
rnacentral:rRNA from 1 species